UACGGAGGGUGCGAGCGUUGUCCGGAAUCACUGGGCGUAAAGGGCGCGUAGGCGGCUCAUUAAGUGGCUGGUGAAAUCCCGGGGCUCAACUCCGGGGCUGCCGGUCAGACUGGUGGGCUCGAGCACGGUAGAGGCGGAUGGAAUUCCCGGUGUAGCGGUGGAAUGCGUAGAGAUCGGGAAGAAUACCGGUGGCGAAGGCAAUCCCCUGGACCUGUACUGACGCUCAUGCACGAAAGCGUGGGGAGCAAACAGG
rnacentral:rRNA from 1 species